CUAGAACAAGGAAAAAAAGAAAAUACUUAUAGCCCUCACCGUGCGACAGACCCUCCUCUCCCAUUCCAUUUCUCUCUUAAUCUCAAGCCAAGCUUCCAAUUUUCUUCCUUCUCAAGAGGGAAAUAGUAAGCUAAGGGUUUCGCGUACCCUCUAUUUCCCCUAAGCCGAAUCUAUCUCCAUCUUCCUCAUUUUCGUGCUUUGGAAGGAUUUCACCAAAGGAGUUUAUUUUCAAGUUCAAAGGAACUCACUAGUAAAGCUCCCAGGUAAUGAUGAAAAGGCUGGGGAGUAAGGCAUUACUGCAGAGGGAAAUGUAGACGCUUAGGACCUUCCCUAACGAGGACAGUUAUGUUACGAAUGAUAGGUUAUGUUAUGUAUAGAUAUUUUAUUUUAGGAUGGACUCUGAGAGUCUCUUAUGGAUGAAUGUUCGAAUAAAAUGUCCAUUAGGUGUUCCUUUUUAUUAAAUGAAAAAUUUAGAGUGCA